rnacentral:rRNA from 1 species
UACGAAGGGGGCUAGCGUUGUUCGGAAUUACUGGGCGUAAAGGGCGCGUAGGCGGCCUUGUUAGUCGAGUGUGAAAGCCCUGGGCUUAACCCGGGAAGCGCGCUUGAUACUGCAGGGCUUGAGUGUGGGAGAGGAUGGUGGAAUUCCCAGUGUAGAGGUGAAAUUCGUAGAUAUUGGGAAGAACACCAGUGGCGAAGGCGACCAUCUGGACCACAACUGACGCUGAGGCGCGAAAGCGUGGGGAGCAAACAGGAUUAGAAACCCCAGUAGUCC